CAAUUACCAACUUUCCGCAACUCUCACCAUCUAUGAAAGCAUCUCCAAGUUCUGUAAUGCUCCUGAUCUCCAGCUGUUUUGCAAACUGCAACAAUGGCAUAAGUAACCAGACAAUGCUUCAUAAAUUUCAAGCGAGUAAAGGGAUCGUCCUUUUUCAUUCGUUGUGCCUGCAUUUUUACACUAGCAAAUCAACUGAUAAAUGUAUCAAGCCAAUCACUUUUGGAUUGGAAGUUUGAGUUUCUGUCCAAUUGUAAUUAAGUUUCAGUUUUCGUUUU